rnacentral:misc_RNA from 1 species
GGGCACGACAACAAAAUUGGCAAAGGCAGAGGAAGGACCAUCAAAGAAGAGAGCGAAACCUAGCAGGGCAAUUAUUAAUGAUGUUGACAAGGAUGAACCACAAAACCCAGAGAAGGGCACUGAAAAGAAACAGACCAAGGCAACGAAAGAACCAUCAAAGAAGAUAGCGAAACCUAGCAAGGCUAGUUGUGAUGAUGUUGAUGUGGAUGAGCCACAAAACCCAGAAAAGGGGGCUGGUAAGAAACAGGCGA